rnacentral:rRNA from 1 species
GUGAACGCUGGCGGUAGGCCUAACACAUGCAAGUCGAACGGCAGCACAGUAAGAGCUUGCUCUUACGGGUGGCGAGUGGCGGACGGGUGAGGAAUACAUCGGAAUCUACUUUUUCGUGGGGGAUAACGUAGGGAAACUUACGCUAAUACCGCAUACGACCUACGGGUGAAAGCAGGGGAUCUUCGGACCUUGCGCGAUUGAAUGAGCCUAUGUCGGAUUAGCUAGUUGGCGGGGUAAAGGCCCACCAAGGCGACGAUCCGUAGCUGGUCUGAGAGGAUGAUCAGCCACACUGGAACUGAGACACGGUCCAGACUCCUACGGGAGGCAGCAGUGGGGAAUAUUGGACAAUGGGCGCAAGCCUGAUCCAGCCAUACCGCGUGGGUGAAGAAGGCCUUCGGGUUGUAAAGCCCUUUUGUUGGGAAAGAAAAGCAGCAGGUUAAUACCCCGCUGUUCUGACGGUACCCAAAGAAUAAGCACCGGCUAACUUCGUG